AACACUCCACCACAAACCGGUUGGAUUUGUUCUUCACAAUCUUCGAUCAGAUAGUAAAAUAAAAACAAAGAAGUAAAAUACUAUGAUCUAACGUAAGGUUAGAUCCAGUAAAAGUUACACAAUAGUUUUCGAUGUAGAAACUAUGGUGAGAAAAUUAAUUGAAUGCCUAGAAAUUAAGCUAACAAAGAAAAGAAAAUAAAAUGCUAAGGAAAAUAAAAAUGCUG
rnacentral:lncRNA from 1 species